CCUACGGGAGGCAGCAGUGAGGAAUAUUGGUCAAUGGCCGUAAGGCUGAACCAGCCAAGUAGCGUGAGGGAAGACUGCCCUAUGGGUUGUAAACCUCUUUUAUGCGGGGAUAAAGUUGUCCACGUGUGGCUGUUUGCAGGUACCGCAUGAAUAAGGACCGGCUAAUUCCGUGCCAGCAGCCGCGGUAAUACGGAAGGUCCGGGCGUUAUCCGGAUUUAUUGGGUUUAAAGGGAGCGUAGGCCGGUCUUUAAGCGUGCCGUGAAAUUUUGUGGCUCAACCAUGAGAGUGCGGCGCGAACUGGAGACCUUGAGUGCGCGGAAGGCAGGCGGAAUUCGUGGUGUAGCGGUGAAAUGCUUAGAUAUCACGAAGAACCCCGAUUGCGAAGGCAGCCUGCCGCAGCGUGACUGACGCUGAAGCUCGAAAGCGCGGGUAUCGAACAGGAUUAGAUACCCCAGUAGUC
rnacentral:rRNA from 1 species